rnacentral:rRNA from 1 species
UACGGAGGGUGCAAGCGUUUAUCCGGAUUCACUGGGUUUAAAGGGUGCGUAGGUGGGUCUGUAAGUCAGUGGUGAAAUCUCCGUGCUUAACAUGGAAACUGCCAUUGAUAACUAUAGGUCUUGAAUUUUCUGGAGGUAAGCGGAAUAUGUCAUGUAGCGGUGAAAUGCUUAGAUAUGACAUAGAACACCAAUUGCGAAGGCAGCUUACUACGGGAACAUUGACACUGAGGCACGAAAGCGUGGGGAUCAAACAGG